GGGGGAGGGAAGCCCCCACGUUUUGCUCUGGGUAAACCCUGUUGCAAACAUUUGAGUUUUUCCUUUCCAAGCCGGAGAAGGAAAAUCUCCCACUGAUCUUGCCCCCUUUGAUAUGUGCAGGGCUUAAAUUUGUGCUGGGGGAGCUUUUUCAUUACAAAUUAAGCACUGACCCCACUCCCCUGCCUCUGAAAUGGGUUAGGUGUGCUUGAAAGGCAGUGCUGCGUUUUCUUCCCUUGAGACUUGACAAUACUACAAUCGGACCAGGCUGGAGAGGAGUGUCCUGCUGGCCCCUAGAGGACACAAUGCUGCCUUCCACCAGCGGAAGAGGACUUGGGGACUUAGGGUGCUGCACGCCCCUCUGCACCAGCACCUGUCCAGCUGCAGAGCAGAAGAGCUGAAACCAGGACAGGCGCUUGAAGCUAUGCCCCACCCACCCAAGAAGCUGUAUUCCUCUCCUAUGCUGAACUUAAGCCCACUCUGCUGGGCAGUGGCAUGAAGGGAGCAUGUCCUAGCCCUGCAGGCUUCUGUCACCAUAUACAGCCCACCUGAAGGCCUGUAUGCUGAAGAGGAGGAGAGACACCUACACAAGUUGAGAAGGAAAAGCAGAGGGCUAGAUGUCUUCACUCAUUCUAUGACCUCUCACUCCAGGUGCACAGAUGAACCUACCAUAACCACAGGGGAAGAGGACUUUGGUACCAACAUCUCAAUUGCCAGCCCUCUGCAGGAGCAGCCAGCCAGAGAGACAGUCCCAUGCCAGGGACCAGUUCAGCCCCAGGAGGGCAGGUCCACAUACCAACCCAGCCAGUCUCCACUAUGCUCCACAGUAAAUCAGCUGACAGUGACACGUGCACAAGGCUGGGGCUUUCAGGUUUUUUUAAUUUAGUUUUCUUGGAAAAAAGAGAAAAGAAAAAACAGUAAGGCAAAAAACCCAAAACUAGAAGUGGAGGGAUUUUUUCUUCUUUUUUUAAAUUUAAAUCUACCAGUGUCCCUCCCAUGGAAAUAAAGGGCCCAUGCCCCCUC